rnacentral:snoRNA from 1 species
CAUCUCCCAGGGUCAUACCUGGAGAGUUUCCAGGACUCUACCAGUCUCGUCUAUGGGAGGGAGAAUCAAGCAGAAGCAUACCCAUUCCAUUCCUAGCUUGGCCAGUGGCUAGUGAGUGGGAAGCAAUCUGCUACAAGU